rnacentral:lncRNA from 1 species
CUACUCGGGUUAGCUGAUGAUUGAAUAGGGGCAGCUGUAACACCCCAAAAUUUGCCCUCCUCAUUCAUGCAUUCAUUUAGCAUUUCAUAUUGCAUUUCAUCAUGUCAAUCAGAAUUAGAUCCAAGAAACUUUAUUUAAAAUAAAAAAAUAAAAUAAAUAAAAUAAAUAAAAUAAAAAAUAAAAUAAAACGAAAAAAAAUAAAUAUAUUUUUUACAAAAAAAAAUAAAAUAAAUAAAAAUAAUAAUAAAAAAUAAAUAAAAU